rnacentral:misc_RNA from 1 species
AAGUCGUAACAAGGUCUCCGUAGGUGAACCUGCGGAGGGAUCAUUACCGAGUGAGGGCCCUCGCGGCCCGACCUCCAACCCUUUGUUAUUCUACACUUUGUUGCCUCGGGGGCGACCCUCGCCCCGCGGCGUCGGGCCCCCGGUGGACCACACACAAAACUCUGCAUCUUUGCGUCGGGUUUGAAAUAUCAAUUUGAUUUAAAACUUUCAACAACGGAUCUCUUGGUUCUG